rfam:Morus notabilis contig15120, whole genome shotgun sequence.
GAGCAAAGGCGUCGAAUUCAGUAAAAAAUGGCGCAAAUUGCAUUGAAGGUUGGCGAAAUCAUUGGAUGCGAUUCUCCGUGCCUAUCAAAUUUUCUAUUUCGUUUUGAUUAUGGCCUCGAACAAGUCGCUACAUU